rnacentral:rRNA from 3 species
GGACUACAAGGGUAUCUAAUCCCGUUUGCUCCCCUAGCUUUCGCGCCUCAGCGUCAGAAGAGAUCCAGCCGCGCGCUUUCGCCACCGGCGUUCCUUCCGAUAUCAACGCAUUUCACCGCUCCACCGGAAGUUCCCGCGGCCCCUGUCUCCCUCGAGACUCGCAGUAUCCAAGGCACUUUUCCGGUUGAGCCGAAAGAUUUCACCCCGGACUUGCGAAUCCGCCUACGCGCCCUUUAAGCCCAGUGAAUCCGAACAACGUUCGCACGGUUCGUCUUACCGCGGCUGCUGGCAC